AGGUUCUAUCACUCGGGUAAAGAGCGCACACAGCUAGACGUCGUAUAUUCCUUUAAUCUAGGAAUAUGUCUAGCUAUUUUGUUUUUCAUUUUAUGCUCUGGUGGAAUGGUAAAGAAUUGGUCAAGCCGGUUUGCGCGGAUGAGUAUGAGUUGAGGAAGCAGUUUUUUUAUUAUACUUGCUAAAACAUCAUGGGAAUGAAAUUAAAGGCAACUUUCAUGA